UCGAGAAUCUUCGGCAAUGGACGCAAGUCUGACCGAGCGACGCCGCGUGCGGGAUGAAGGCCUUCGGGUUGUAAACCGCUGUCAGUGGGGAGGAAGGCCGUGUGAAGAGCAUGGUUUGACCUAUCCGCAGAGGAAGUGUGGGCUAAGCUCGUGCCAGCAGCCGCGGUAAGACGAGCCACACAAACGUUAUUCGGAAUUACUGGGCUUAAAGGGUGCGUAGGCGGCGCGGAAAGUUGGGUGUGAAAUCCCUCAGCUUAACUGAGGAAGGGCGCCCAAAACUACCGUGCUCGAGGGAGAUAGAGGAGUGCGGAACUUAGGGUGGAGCGGUGAAAUGCGUUGAUAUCCUAGGGAACACCGGUGGCGAAAGCGGCACUCUGGAUCUCUUCUGACGCUGAGGCACGAAAGCUAGGGUAGCAAACGG
rnacentral:rRNA from 1 species